CGACCGGCGCACGGGUGAGUAACACGUAUCCAACCUGCCCUUUACUCGGGGAUAGCCUUUCGAAAGAAAGAUUAAUACAAGAUGGCAUCAUGAGUCCGCAUGUUCACAUGAUUAAAGGUAUUCCGGUAGACGAUGGGGAUGCGUUCCAUUAGAUAGUAGGCGGGGUAACGGCCCACCAAGACUACGAUGGAUAGGGGUUCUGAGAGGAAGGUCCCCCACAUUGGAACUGAGACACGGUCCAA
rnacentral:rRNA from 1 species